GCUCACCAAGGCGACGACGGGUAGCUGGUCUGAGAGGACGAUCAGCCACACUGGGACUGAGACACGGCCCAGACUCCUACGGGAGGCAGCAGUGGGGAAUCUUGCGCAAUGGGCGAAAGCCUGACGCAGCAACGCCGCGUGGGGGAUGAAGGCCUUCGGGUUGUAAACCCCUUUCAGUGGGAACGAAAUUGACGGUACCCACAGAAGAAGCCCCGGCCAACUACGUGCCAGCAGCCGCGGUGAUACGUAGGGGGCGAGCGUUGUCCGGAUUUAUUGGGCGUAAAGAGCUCGUAGGCGGCUUGGUAAGUCGGGUGUGAAACCUCCAGGCUCAACCUGGAGACGCCACUCGAUACUGCCCUGGCUAGAGUCCGGUAGGGGAUCACGGAAUUCCUGGUGUAGCGGUGAAAUGCGCAGAUAUCAGGAGGAACACCAGUGGCGAAGGCGGUGAUCUGGGCCGGUACUGACGCUGAGGAGCGAAAGCGUGGGGAGCGAACAGGAUUAGAUACCCUGGUAGUCCACGCCGUAAACGUUGGGCACUAGGUGUGGGGCCUUAUCGACGGGUUCCGUGCCGCAGCUAACGCA
rnacentral:rRNA from 1 species